ensembl:lncRNA
AUGGCCUUUGAAUUCGAUCUGAGGAAAGUUAUUGGUGAUUCUAGAGAGAUUGCUUCUGUUCUUUACAGUGAGAAGACCAAAGGCAGCUGGGAGAGCCAUACUGAGCAAUUAGUUAUCUGCAUUUGGAGAUGUCCAUUAAAAGGAAGUUUCCCAUGGAAAAAUAAAAUAAUUAGAUUACAAGAUGGAAUGAGCCCAUCACAGGUGCUAUUUCUAUCAUCCACCCCAACUAUGCUUUGCAGUGAGCAUUCUCCCAGAGACACCCUGAGCAGCACAAAAUGGAGAAGAAGGGGCAAGCAAAUCACACCUACCCCUGUGGGAGAGGAUAGUCCUAAAACAGAUCAACCAACAACAGAGAAAGAAUAGCUCUACAUCCUUGAUGAGUUAUUUACUUGGUAAAAAGGAAACCCAGGUCAUCGUAUCCACCAUGAACAGAGCACUCAAACAGAACAAGACCAAGAUGAGCCCAGAUGCCAUGAUGUGAAGAACAAACAGACUUUGGGGAUCAGAGAUGGUAAGAAUCAGAAAUUCCUGCUGGUGCUCAAGUAUAUGGACAAGCUGUUCAUACCGCUGAGGGGUCAUAUCGAUUCUUUAUACGGUUUUUUGUUUAUUUUUUUAAUAUUGAGAGGCUUUUUAUUUUUUACAAUUUACCUUAAAUCUAAAUACCAGUUCUUUGAACUACUUCAGAAAAAAAUCAAAUUUAGCUUUUGAUUUUGAAAUUAAGUGAAAAAAAACGAUCAAAAAGUCAUUUUAGUACGGGUUUGAGUUAUUUUACCAUUUAGAAAUUGUCUAAUUAGCUAAGUUAAUAAGGAGUGGCAUUAGAAUUUUACUCUUAUGCAAAUCAUGUAAAAAUCAUUAACAGCCAUUGUUAAAUGAAAUGACUCCUAAACAAAUAAGCAUGUGCUAGUAAACCCUUCAAGUUUUGUGGAGCCAGAACCAAUGCAGAUUAGAUGGAAGCCAUAUCAGAGCUGAUGCAAUUUGGGUUAGAGGCUCUAUGUCAUCUAUAAUCGAUCAAGAAAACAAAGUCUUAAACUACAUCUUGUAAAUUGCAAACAAAUGAUGUGUAUAUUCAACACUGAAGAUUUAGUCUCCGUAUAGUGCUUAUAAAGUGAAAAGAAUAUGUAUGUGUAUACCUAUAUAUGCUCAUAUAUAGAUAUACACCAUAUACAGUGAUAACUCGCAUUAUUAUAAAAAACAUUUCUGACAUAUUAUCAGGGGAAGUAACUAUCUUCUUUUCUGUCUUUUUUUUUUUUUUUUUCCCUAGGACCACACACGCGGUAUAUGGAGGUUCCCAGGCUAGGGGGUCUAAUCAGAGCUAUAACCACCGGCCUAUGCCAGAGCCACAGCAACGCCAGAUCUGAGCUGCGUCUGAAACUUACACCACAGCUUACACAACACUGGAUUCUUAACCCACUGAGCAAGGCCAGGGAUCGAGCCCACAACCUUAUGGAUCCUAGUCGGAUUCGUUAACCAUUGAGACAGACAGGAAUUCCACUAUCUUCUUUUAUGAAAGUCACUUUUAUUUUUUCUAAUCAUAUUUAAACUCCUAGAUGGAGAAAACCAGCCAUAUCCAUCUUUGAAAGGCAGUCUAAUAGAAAGCAUGGACUUUGGUGCCACAGAAACAUGGGUUCAAGCCCAGACAAUUCUUGCAACCAUUUGGUUUUAAGCAAGUCUCAAACUAUCUGAUUCUCAGGCUUUUCAAGUAGUAAUUCCUUGUACUACUUAGGUACUCCACUCAGCCUCACCUAUUCCUUUCUAAGUAGCCAAGACCUAUGUCUUGCACAGGUAAGAAUUCAAUUUAUAUUCACUGAAUUAAUUCAUAAACAGUUGCCGCAAAUUCAAAUAAAAAUCCUUUCCUAUAUAUCA